UACGUAGGGGGCUAGCGUUGUCCGGAAUCAUUGGGCGUAAAGAGCGUGUAGGCGGCCCGGUAAGUCCGCUGUAAAAGUCAAAGGCUUAACCUUUGAAUGUCAGUGGAUACUGCCGGGCUAGAGUCCGGAAGAGGCGAGUGGAACUCCUGGUGUAGCGGUGGAAUGCGCAGAUAUCAGGAAGAACACCAACGGCGAAGGCAGCUCGCUAGGACGGUACUGACGCUGAGGCGCGAAAGCGUGGGGAGCAAACAGG
rnacentral:rRNA from 1 species